GGGACUUCCGUCGUCGUCCUCGGACCAUCACUUUGGCAUUUCUCGAUUUUGUCUGCUUCUGAAGGGACCGCGUUGUCAGGCGAGGGACGGAAUCUUGGAGGCUCCCUGGGCCCAUGGAAACAGGAGCGAGGAAGGCACGAGAGUCGGGGAAGUUCCGCCUUCUUGACAUACAAGCGCCCCCACCGCGGCGAAUAUCGCCCCUGAGCCCAGUGUUCGCCCCCCACAACACCGCACCCCCCUUCCCCACCCUGUGCCUUAGAUAAAGCCGGCCCAGUGGGACCCUCAGGUUGCACCGCGCGGAGGUGUCCGCGGCUCUCGGGAGUCGUCGCCCUUGGCGUUAUGUUGGCUUUAGGGAGCGCGAGGCCGAGGCCAAGAAAAGCUACGCAUUGGGAGGUCUUGACCCAGUGUGCGCCCGGCUGUAGGCAUGGAACGUGCGCCAAAGGUCUCCUGGCACCCACUCCGCUGGACUCAGCACCAUUGUCCUAAGUCUCCGAUUGAGAAGUAUCUGCCCCAGGUCCUCUGCGGGCCCCACUGAACAGUGUGGAGCGUUCACAGGUUGGGGGUCACCAUUUCAGAAUCCAGUUUGUUGAGACGUGGAGGGUACAGGAGGAGGGAUCUGCAUAUGCGAAGACUUGGACUUGACCCUGACCUGAGCGUUCAGGCAGGCUCUCAUGCCCCCUUGGCAGCGAGUGGAGAGCGUAAGAGGAGUCCUGCCUCUCCUGGCACACCGAGGGCGCCUGGGAGCCAUGAAAGGUGUUGAACAGAAAAGGGAUGGACAUGACCUGAGUUAGAAUUUGGAAAGUAUUUCAGUGGUUGCUGAAUGAACACACUACUGGAGAAGGUGGUUGUAGUGGGGCUGGAAGCAGGGAGACUGUGGGGGAGGUUAUUGCAGUAUUGUUCCAGACAGUUAUGAUAGUGGCCUGUCCAGAACGGAAGCAAGAAGGAUGGGAGAAGUGAUCAGAUUCCCAGUGGAUCUUCAAGAUAGAGCUAAUGGAAUUUUUUGCUACCUUAGAUAAGUGGAAUAAGCAUGAGUAGGGGUGAAGGACCAUCCCAAGUAGUUAGGAAGAAUUAGGAUGCCUCCUGUGGAGAAUAGAGGUUGGCAGUUGGCAGGAGGAGGAUGUUUCAUGGAAGAUUAGCGAUGGAUUUUGUAGGUAUAGAGUCUGAAUUGUCUGGAGACCUGUGAGUGGAGGUGUCAAAUGGGCCUCUGGAUAUAUAGAAUUCUGGUGUGGCUUCAGGACGUCCAGACUGCAUUAUGUUGGUGGCCUGGCCCAGUGAACGGCCUGAGGAUAGGAUUUGGGAAGGAGGGUUUUAGGUUGGAGGACCAGUGGCUAGGGCUCACGCUCAGUGCUUAGAUCACAUCUGUCUGCCCAUUGGCUUGGUGUUGCAGGGCUUAAUGACCUUUGAGGACAGGGUCAGUACAUCUUCCAAGAAUGUGGGGCUCCUUAGUGAGGUCCAAGGGGGCUUCUACAGUGACAUGAUACUACAGAGCUUUGUACUCCAGUGCCCACUAGGUAAGGCUACUGUGUCUCCUCUUUCCCCUACACAUGAAAUCUAGGUUUUCCUCCGCCUUUCCAUUGUUCCCUCUGGGAGGUGCUGCUGGCCCUGGCACUGGCCAGUGUCCUGCUGUGUCCGGAAUUGUUUCCUUCCUCUGGGUUCUUGGUCUCGCUGACUUCAAGAAUAAAGCCGCGGACCCUCGUGUUGAGUGUUACAGUUCUUUUUUUUUUUUUUUUUUGAGACGGAGUCUCGCUCUGUCGCCCAGGCCGGACUGCGGACUGCAGUGGCGCAAUCUCGGCUCACUGCAAGCUCCGCUUCCCGGGUUCACGCCAUUCUCCUGCCUCAGCCUCCCGAGCAGCUGGGACUACAGGCGCCCGCCACCGCACCCGGCUAAUUUUUUUUUUUUGUAUUUUUAGUAGAGACGGGGUUUCACCUUGUUAGCCAGGAUGGUCUCGAUCUCCUGACCUCAUGAUCCACCCGCCUCGGCCUCCCAAAGUGCUGGGAUUACAGGCGUGAGCCACCGCGCCCGGCCCUGUUACAGUUCUUAAAGAUGGUGUGUCCGGAGUUUGUUCCUUCAGAUGUUCAGAUGUGUCUGGAGUUUUUUCCUUCUGGUGGGUUCGUGGUCUUGCUGACUUCAGGAGUGAAGCUGCAGACCUUCGCAGUGAGUGUUACAGCUCUUAAAGGUGGCACAUCCAGAGUUGUUCAUUCCUCCUGGUGGGUUCGUGGUCUCGCUGACCUCAGGAGUGAAGCUGCAGACCUUUGCAAUGAGUGUUACAGCUCGUAAAGGUGGCGUGUCCAAUGUUGUUUGUUCCUCCCAGUGGGUUUGUGGUCUCGCUGGCUUCAGGAGUGAAGCUGCAGACCUUUGUGGUGAGUGUUAUAGCUCAUAAAGGUAGUGUGGACCCAAAGAGUGAGCAGCAGCAAGAUUUAUUGCGAAGAGCAAAAGAAUAAAGCUUCUACAGCAUGGAAGAGGACCCGCGGGUUGCCGCUGCUGGCUUGGGUGGCCAGCUUUUAUUCUAUUUGGCCCUGCCCACAUCCUGCUGAUUGGUCCAUUAUACAGAGCACUGAUUGGUCCAUUUUACAGAGCACUGAUUGGUCCAUUUUACAGAGCACUGAUUGGUCCAUUUUUACAGAGUGCUGAUUGGUGAGUUUACAAACCUAUAGCUAGACACAGAGUGCUGAUUGGUGCAUUUACAAUCCUUUAGCUAGACAGAAAAGUUUUCCAAGUCCCCAGCCAAUUAGCUAGACACAGAGCGCUGAUUGGUGCGUUUACUAACCUUUAGGGAGACACAGAGCGCUGAUUGGUGCAUUUUUACAGAGUGCUGAUUGGUGCGUUUACAAACCUUUAGCUAGACACAGAGCGCUGAUUGGUGUGUUGGCAGUCCUUUAGCCGGACAGAAAAGUUCCCCAAGUCCCCACUGGACCCAGAAGCCCAGCCGGCUUCACUUUUCACUGCUACUUAUCCCUGGCUGCUGCAUAAACAACCCCCACACCUUCCCUGGGAUCUUGACAACCUUGUGAAGCCACAGUGAUGGUCCCUGCACCCACUCCCACGCCCUUGUCCAGCUCUAGAGGCCUCCUGUAGCCCAACCCACAAGCCACAAAAUGAGGACCAUCAUGGCGGUGCCGGAAAUCUCACCCCUCAAUGCCCACCUGGAAUCGGAAGUCUCAAAACCUGUGUAGCAUAUCACAUGCAGCUGGGUCGUUUCCUGGCUAGGUUACCCUGUCAGGAUCUGUGACUUUUCUGUCCUUUCUGCCACAUUCCCUCACUCUAGUAGGAGUUUUCUGCCAGCUGUCCCUUGUGAGUCCCAGUGGGCACUGACAUGGUCAUUGAUUGUGGGGUCACUGAGCAUUGACUUUGUGAAGUUCAGUUCUUUCCAGCUAUAUACCUGCAUAGGUGAUCUUCACCUACGGUGAUUUGUCAUGGGGUGGAUCACCUUGACGUGGGCUGCCUUCUCACAAACCACUUGAUGAGAGCUGUAUAGGAUCACUGCCACCACCCCCGCCAUGUGAUCACCUAACUAGAACAAAUGAAGAGACCUGGCUGGUGGACAGGGUGGCUUGAAUUAGGCCAUGGACAGAGAGGCCCCAUGGUGCACCAGUUCUGUUGAGUGGAAGACAGCUGUGGCAGAGCUGUUGGCAGUGCCCUGGUGGCUCACCUGGUACCUGAGUUGUGCCCUCUGUUGUCCUGGCACCAGGAUGUAUAGCUGUGCCUUUUAAAAAAAAUUUUCCUGACCUUCUUCUGACACUCUAUCCUACUUUGCCCUGACUCCUGUUCCCUGGAUGGCUUCCUCUCUGUCUUCCAAGAUUCACUCUUUCCCCUUCUCCCGUCCUCCCCUCCAGUGGCCAGGUCUUCUACCAUUGGCCUCCCUUUAAUGUGUCUUGAACGGAUAAUGUAUCUUUAAAUAGUUGUUAUCUGCACAUGGUGGCUCAUAACUACAGUCCCAACUACUUGGGAUGCUGAGGCAGGAGGAGCGCUUGAGACCAGGAGUUUGAGUCCAGCUUGGGCAACAUAACGAGAUCCUAUCUCUAAAAUAAAUAAAUAAAUACAUAGAUACCUAAA
rnacentral:lncRNA from 1 species